rnacentral:rRNA from 1 species
CCUACGGGAGGCAGCAGUAGGGAAUCUUCCACAAUGGGCGAAAGCCUGAUGGAGCAACGCCGCGUGGGUGAAGAAGGUCUUCGGAUCGUAAAACCCUGUUGUUAGAGAAGAAAGUGCGUGAGAGUAACUGUUCACGUUUCGACGGUAUCUAACCAGAAAGCCACGGCUAACUACGUGCCAGCAGCCGCGGUAAUACGUAGGUGGCAAGCGUUAUCCGGGUUUAUUGGGCGUAAAGGGAACGAAGGAGGUCGGUUAAGUCUGAUGUGAAAGCUUUCGGCUUAACCGGAGUAGUGCAUUGGAAACUGGGAGACUUGAGUGCAGAAGAGGAGAGUGGAACUCCAUGUGUAGCGGUGAAAUGCGUAGAUAUAUGGAAGAACACCAGUGGCGAAAGCGGCUCUCUGGUCUGUAACUGACGCUGAGGUUCGAAAGCGUGGGUAGCAAACAGGAUUAGAUACCCCAGUAGUC